CGACUUAUUGAUUUUUUUUUUUAUUUUUCCUAAAUGUAAGACUAGAGAGAUAGCUACAACAGAGCAGCCAAGCAAGCCAGGAUAGAACUGAGGAUAGUAGCAUUAACAAUGUUGUUGUUAUAGUCUGUCUAUAUUUCUCAUAAAGUACUCUGGUGUAUGCCACUUCUCUAAUCUUUUUGGCAACUGGAAGUAAACCAUCUGAAUUCACCAAGUCACUUUUGUAACCUUGUCGACAGACAAACAACAGACGAGUCAAACACAUGGAAUGCCAUUUCAACCGCUGUUAUUAAGCAGAUAAAUACUGAUGUUGCCGCUACUCCAAGAUCGCCUGUCUGCUAAUCUUGCCACCCUCCUCUGUAUAAUCUGUACUUCCUUUAUGUAAGCGCCGGACUCGCAAGAUGUCCUGUCGGCCACCCAGCCGAUCUCACCAGAAAUUCAGAAAAGCAUCACUACAUGUUGCUCGCACACCCGGCAUGCCUGCAUUCUCCUGCAAUUUGCAGACAUUUACUAGCAUCCACAAGUGGUCGAUCGAUCACACACUCUUGCUUCAGUUCAGAGUUACAGCUAGCUUACAACAUGUAAAUGUAUAUUACCCAAAGAUUCAUCAAUUCAAGAGGAUUCCUGAGCUGAAUAUACGCAUAUGCAAUAUGCCCUAUGCUUCCAUGAUGAGCAGCACGAGAGGAACAUGAAAGGGGAGCACAGGCACGCAUCCGCAAGCACAUGUUUCCCCAUGGAGCUACACAUCUCGCUGUGGAUUCAAUUGCAAGUUGGCAAAAAUAUUCUUCUGGUCUUUACGAGGUGAUCGGGAGAUCAGUUUGUGGUGGUGAUGGAAGAAAGCCCCGGAGAUGAGGAGGUUAAAUAUGUAGGUGAAGGGAGCAAAAACCUAGUUUGGAGCAUGCAUGGAGCCAAGCCAAAAGGGCCAAGCUAGGGGGGCCAUCUAUAUCACUGGAAGAGCAGGUUAUGCAUUUCUUCCUUUUCUAUAUAUACCAAAAUUGAAUUUUCUUAUGCUUUAUAUUACUUGAUCUUAUGCAUGCAGCAGCUGUUUUCUGCAGCUACUUGAGCUUGUAUAUAUAUAAUAAUUGGCAUGCUUUCCUUUGAUCUUUAUGCCCUUUCCUCACUAUCAUUGAGCUACUCUCUGUUUAGCUUGUUACAUUAUGCGAUAAUCAUCUGAAAAGCGAACUUUUUUCUAAUUUUGUUCCUUUGAUUAAGGAAUUUGGUUAGUUCAAGUCCCAAAUGAUGAUUGGAUCUAAAAAGAAAGACAUCUAUAUAUGUCUCAUGAUUGAGCUGAACUGGCCUCAACUUAGGUUCACAACUUCAGGUACCUCAUCAUAGAUAAGAUAAUAUAUAUUUCUUUUUGUGCCAAUUUUCCUUUUUAUAUUGGUUCAGUUUGAUAUAAUUCUGAUGAACCCAAAUAAGGUAAUAUGCAUGACAGCUGGCAUAUUCAACGAUAUCAACAGUACUAUAAAUAUAAUACUGGACAAUUCCCUUUUAUUUUUAUUAACAAUUAAUAAAUACCACGAUCAACGUACUAUACACAGUCAGCAUUAUGUCCCACAACUCAAUUUAUAUAUGUAGUGUAAUCACGUCUUCAAAAAGUUCUGAAUAAAUGAUUGAUGAUGACAAGCCAAUAUUGCCAGGCAAAAUUAAUAGUGAAAAUAUAUCCAUCAAUUCAAUUAGUCAUGGUUUCUAAAAGGUGAGCUUUAAAAUACUAUAAUAUUAUGUUAGCCCCUGUCAUAGAGUUAAAAGUUAAAAUAAUAACUAGUUACGAUUAGGAUUUUUUUUAGUUCUACUUAGAGGAAGACCAACACAAGGAUACCCAAGAGGGACGCUAUACAUUAUAGAUCCCCCCCCCCCCCCAACCUUACCGGCUAAAACUACUCAUCUAUAUAGGGUGAGCCAUCCUUUUUUCAUUAUAUUUGUCACAUAUGUGGAGACUGUAGCAAGCCAACCCAAGCCAAAGCAACCUUGUAGAGGCAACUAGCUAGAGCACACGAAAGAAUUCUUUAGCACUGGUGAUGGAGCUAGUUCGCGAGUUGGUCGAGCAGUAGCCCUAGCUCCGAUCCACCGCUACGUUCACACUAUUCUGUUGUUAGCAACACAUGUAAAAAUUGUAGAUCACUAACAAACACUGUUCGUCACCUGGGCUCGACAAUGCCACUGACUCUGCCACUAGUUAGCACUUGUACAUGGUAGAAACCAAAUGUCCAAAAGGUUCAAGGGAUUGUGACUAUGGAUAAGUGUCAAUUGUGGUUAGAGGAAAUUUCGAAUGCCUUGGUCAAAUGUUAUCUCUUGUUGUGGUCAUCAUUAUUAUUUUGGUUAUCUAAAGAAGCCAUCUACUCCUAUGUAUCUAUAUGUCUAGAUCUUGUUCAUUUUUGUCAUAUCUCAAGAUAUUGGAUCAACCUAAGAGGUUAUUGAGAUAUCAUAAUAUAACAAAUGAUAUCAGAGCCAAGGCCAUAUUGAUCUGAUUUGUGAGAUGGUCGACAUAACAUUAGUAACAUAAUAAAUCAAAGUGAUACCUUUGAGGUUUCAGCGUGUGGAAACAGUAAAUAACCAACGGGGAUUGACCGUCACUAUAUAUGGUGAGAAACCAUACAAGACAACCAUUGAAGACAUAGUGGUGGUGAAGUGAAAAGUAAUUCGUAAAUUUUCUUAGUUUCUUGGUUGAGCUGAAGUACUUAUUGGUAACAAAGGAGAGAGGAUUUAAUGAAUAAAGUGUAUGUUCAAAUCUUGCUAAUAAACCGAUGUGCUCUAAAGCGACAAAUCUGUUUCAAUUGUACAUGGAGUAAAGCACAUCUUUGCAUCAUCUCAAUGUCUUCAAUAAACUUUACACAUAGCUACGAAGGUUGCAUGAGAAAAUUCGAUGAUAAAGACAAGGGAAUGCUAUCUUCUGAUGAGAAAGGCGACAGGAUACAUAAUAGUGCAAGUUUAAAGCAAUGAAGGGUGCAACCUCAAUGGUGAUGCAAAAAGAUCGGCAUGGUGUAUUGCAUCAUUAUUCAUUCAGAUUGUCGUUGGGAGCUAGCUAGCGUGGCCACCCUAAAAUGAUUGUUGCUGCAGCCUUGCCACACGUACAGUACCACAAGUCAAUAAACACAUCCUUCCACCCCUACCUUCCUAUCAAGGAUGUGGCAGAAACCAGAAAGCUACGUAGCACUCGAAUUGCAUCAUUGCAUCACACCACACUGCACCACGCCUAAGUGCGGUGUAUCCUGCAAGCUAGGUGGCUUCUGGUCGAUCAGAUAUAUUGAUCUUGACAUGAAAUGCAUGUCUAGCUAGUAGCUAGCUCGAUCAAUCCACACGAUUGUAUGGGGAUCCCCUUGUCGGGACGACACAUUAAUUUGGGUCCUGUUUCCGACAGGUCGUCCACUAA